rnacentral:rRNA from 1 species
GGGGGAGCAAAUCAUGCAGUCGAGCGAGCUUGCCUAGAUGAUUUUAGUGCUUGCACUAAAUGAAACUAGAUACAAGCGAGCGGCGGACGGGUGAGUAACACGUGGGUAACCUGCCCAAGAGACUGGGAUAACACCUGGAAACAGAUGCUAAUACCGGAUAACAACACUAGACGCAUGUCUAGAGUUUGAAAGAUGGUUCUGCUAUCACUCUUGGAUGGACCUGCGGUGCAUUAGCUAGUUGGUAAGGUAACGGCUUACCAAGGCAAUGAUGCAUAGCCGAGUUGAGAGACUGAUCGGCCACAUUGGGACUGAGACACGGCCCAAACUCCUACGGGAGGCAGCAGUAGGGAAUCUUCCACAAUGGACGAAAGUCUGAUGGAGCAACGCCGCGUGAGUGAAGAAGGGUUUCGGCUCGUAAAGCUCUGUUGGUAGUGAAGAAAGAUAGAGGUAGUAACUGGCCUUUAUUUGACGGUAAUUACUUAGAAAGUCACGGCUAACUACGUGCCAGCAGCCGCGGUAAUACGUAGGUGGCAAGCGUUGUCCGGAUUUAUUGGGCGUAAAGCGAGUGCAGGCGGUUCAAUAAGUCUGAUGUGAAAGCCUUCGGCUCAACCGGAGAAUUGCAUCAGAAACUGUUGAACUUGAGUGCAGAAGAGGAGAGUGGAACUCCAUGUGUAGCGGUGGAAUGCGUAGAUAUAUGGAAGAACACCAGUGGCGAAGGCGGCUCUCUGGUCUGCAACUGACGCUGAGGCU